rnacentral:rRNA from 1 species
GACGAACGCUGGCGGCGUGCCUAAUACAUGCAAGUAGAACGCUGAAGGAGGAGCUUGCUCUUCUGGAUGAGUUGCGAACGGGUGAGUAACGCGUAGGUAACCUGCCUGGUAGCGGGGGAUAACUAUUGGAAACGAUAGCUAAUACCGCAUAACAGUAGAUGUUGCAUGACAUUUACUUAAAAGGUGCAAUUGCAUCACUACCAGAUGGACCUGCGUUGUAUUAGCUAGUUGGUGGGGUAACGGCUCACCAAGGCGACGAUACAUAGCCGACCUGAGAAGGUGAUCGGCCACACUGGGACUGAGACACGGCCCAGACUCCUACGGGAGGCAGCAGUAGGGAAUCUUCAGCAAUGGACGGAAGUCUGACCGAGCAACGCCGCGUGAGUGAAGAAGGUUUUCGGAUCGUAAAGCUCUGUUGUAAGAGAAGAACGAGUGUGAGAGUGGAAAGUUCACACUGUGACGGUAUCUUACCAGAAAGGGACGGCUAACUACGUG